GUGCCGGCCGGGGUCGUGUUUUGGGGUCUGCAAGAGCCAGAAAAUGUCUGCAGAGCCCCUGACUCUUUUGUGGAAGUCUAAAGACUCUUUGGGGAAUUCUAAAGGGGAGCGGGAGGAGAUUGGAAGGUGAGGGUUGAGUGGCCUGAAGCCCUGCAGUGAAGGGCCCGAGACAUCUGAUGUUUCUGCAGGUUUUCUGCUGGUUUCUUGCUCCUUGUUCUUGUAUCCGGUGCUGGUACUCCCCUUGCCACAGAGGUCAUGGAGAGCCUGGUGUAGCAAUGGGACUGUGCCCCUUGGGCCGUGCAGGGGUUUGUGUUGGUGAACAUUGUCUGUGUGGGUAACAGAAAGGACUCUCCUCCUUACUGCCCUAGGAGCCAGAGCAUCUGUGGCAUUUCUUUAGUCUUCAGUAAAGAUCUUCAGUGAGUUACCAACCCUGGGAGUCAGGAUAUGAGCAGCCUCCAAAGUCUGUAAAGAAAGAAGUAAAGUAACUGUUGGGCCAUCAGAGUGGAUGUCAGUGUCAGCCACGGGGAGAUGGAAUAAUGCUCUCACUGCUGGAAGAGUCACCUCCAUUCAGGUUUGUAUGUGAGGCUGAGAGGAGUCACCUUGUGUAUCUCAUUAUCUUACCCUGGCUGGAAUAUCUGCUAGGAGGCAGAAGAGCCCUCCCAGGCACAUCACCUGCUGAAUUCAACAAACACUUGUCAAAAACAAAGAUUGACCAGAAAUAUUGUCACUUAUAAAAGCAUUCUUUUAUACUAACUAUAGUAAAAAUAGCCCUAUAUAAAAGGGAAUCAAACCUUUGGACAGUGCUGUUUCAAUAGAGGCCUUCAAAAAAAACACUUCCUAUGUGAUGAAAGAGAAAUGCUCAAAAAUCCCUUCAGGAAUACCUACAAUUCCUUAUGGAUACCUAAUGAAAAUAUAUUAGAACUGAGCAAGUACCAAAAAAAGCUUGAUGAACUGACUGUAACAAAAUAUCCAGUGAUGAAAAGCUCUGCAGACUUUUCUUGCCAGCUCUGGCAAGUAAGUAGUUUUGCUAAAUAGAAGGAAAGCAGAAGAUACAGCUAUCAACUGCAAACGAAUGAUUAUAAACCAGAAAGAAAAUGUGGGGAAGAGCUCUGAAAAUUAUGAUUGACAGUGACAACACAGACCAGACAGCUUUUAUUUUAAGCAACAGAUUGUUGGGAACAUACACCGUAUAUCAAAGUGAAGGACUUGAAACCUGCUGUAGUCUGUACAGAUGUUCUCACUCAGAAAGCAGCUAGAGGGAACAGAAGAUAAAAGAAGGCUGUCCAACUUCAAAAAAGGUUUGAAUUUUCAUUCUGUUUUGACAAGUUUUUAUGCUAGUCUCUGAUUUUUAGUGUGGUAGAAAAUUCAGCAUCUACAAACCUGACCUAAAGUGAGAAACACCUGAAGGGGUACAAGCAAACCCUUAAGAAGGUGCUAUACAACAUCAUGAAAUAGUUUUUGUUGUUUUAAUCUUAAAUGCUUUUAUACAAAAAUUGGAAAUGCUGUAACUGUUGUAGCUCUGGAGCAGGUCAUACGUGCUUGCAGUCAGCAGUACCUGGAAUUCAAGGAUGAGAUCUAAGAGGCCAUUGAGGAAUCCCUGCUGCAGAAAAUACAUUUUUAUGAUACAAAGCAAGGCAGGAUUACUGAGCUCAGAAGGGUUAUUUGUGAAUAACUUCCAGCUAAAGUGAUUAAGGGCUUCAGCCACUAGCCCCAGAAAAAACCAACAAAGAGCAUCAAAAACAUCCUGCAUGUCAUUGCUGCUGGCUUUUUGUUCAAUGAGCAAGAGGUCUGUGUUGGUUUUGGUCCUUUGCCCUUGGGGGCACUUUUAACAAAACAUAAUACUUGAAAGAAUUCCAAAAUGUGUUUGUUUUUUUUUUUAUUUUCUUUGAACUAGAAGGUUAAAGAUAAAUAAAGGAGUAUUUUGAUAUGUCUGAAAAAUACUUGUGAUAACAAAUAGACAAAGCACUUCCUAACGUUCAAGACUUAAAAGUGCACUUUACAAACAUGCCACAGUUCUUGAUGGCAAAAACCCCAUCCAAUGCCUUUUCUUUUUUUUUAAUGUAAGGUAAAGCACUCCAUCCUGUUUUAAAAAAUCAUCUCUCUGAGAAAUGUGAAUAUCUUCAGCAGAAUCUUUGGUACUUGUGUUUGGUUUAAGGUUUUGGGGUUUUUAAAUUUUAAGCUGCUACAAUAUCUGCCAGAAAAAGCAAGAGCCAAGAAACAUGCUGAAGAGAUAAAUGUUGUGAUGAGUGCAAAUUGGUAAGAAGUUCCUCUGGCAAUCCCAGAUUUGCAGAGAGGAAAUUUGGGCUCCUGUACAGAUGAAUUGCUCUUACAGAAUUUUACAGUAUGAGAUGAACAAAGAGACUACCACAAAGUCAUAGGCCACCAACUUAAAUCUGACUUCAAAGCAUUUCAGAUCCUCAUAGGAAGAGAUUGGGAUAUGCAGAGUAGCCUGUCUAUUUCUGAGUUUAUUUGCAAAAGUAUUCUGAGUUCCUUAACAUUCUCCAUUGCAGGAAUCAUGCCCAAUAUAUAAAUAUAUGUGAAACUAUUGAUAAACCAUCUGAAAGUGAUGACAACAUGAGUAAUUAAGGCUGUGUCACACCACUGUCACAGUGGGUGGCUGGAACAUCUUGGGCAAAGGUUGCAAUUUCCUAUUUCAGGAUCUGCCAUACAAAUUCCAAAAGCCAUGAGGAACCCACAGUGAUGUGCAGGGAGCACUGAUAGCACUUUCUUAACCAUGAAGGUCUAGCCACAUGCCAGAACUUUAUAGAACUUCAUUACAUUUAUUAUAUUCAAUUUUUUCCUCUUUCCUUUAUUUCUGUUUAAAUGCUUGUUUUGAGGGGAAAUAUGAUCUCAGCAUUCAUUAUGACAAAAAAAGUGCACAUUAAUUUUGUACUCAGAGUAUCAGCCUGUUCUUCAGGGCUGCUAAUACCAGUUCUUUUCAGAAUACAGCUCAUAACAAUAACAUUCUUCCUCAAAACUAUCACUUGUGGCAGCAAGGGAUCCCCAGACCAAACAGAAACUAAGUUUUUUGAGUCUAGAAUCAAAAGGUCACCUGAUAGCAGCUUUCAGAAGAGAGAUUUCUGAAGGGUAAAUGGCUCUUGUUUAAAGGUUUUUAAUGUUCAACAUUUAGCAGAGGUUACAUGUUUAUUCUACUAUUAAUGGGAAUAUUUCAUUCAAUGGAAACAAAAGCUCUGGCAUAUCUGUUAAUAUCAUGGUGUGCAGAGAAACACCCAGCAGUGUUUGUCCUGGAUGAUGCAAGAGUUGCUGUGGCCAUUACAUGUAUUUACCAUGGUUUGCUUUCCCCUUUAAAAUGAAGCUGUGCUGUAAGAUUGGAGCUGGUUAUUGAGGAAAUAUCUUGAAACUGCAUUGAAAGCAACUGGCUUGUUAAGGCUUCUCACUAAAAUAAAGUGUGUAAAAAGAAUGCCCAUUAAUAACUACUGGUGGCUAACAUCAUUAAACUAGCUUUGAGUUCACAUACUAGAUUUCCAAGCUCAGGUGCAGGCAUUGAGCCCUUUUAUCCUCACAGAGGUUUUAAAUUUGUUUGGUUUCUGUAAACACACAUCUCCCAAAUUGUACCUCUGGAAAAGCCACUCCCUGUCUGACUUCACCUUGGCAGAAACACAAUCUCUUCAAGUACAAUUUAUGCAGUGGAAAAUUGGAAUGAGAAGCACCAGAACUACCUCUUGUCUUUAAAAAAAAAGAUUUUUAUUUCUGUUUUUAAAUAGCUUGACAAAACCCAUCCAUUGGUACUCUGAGUUCAAAUGUAAACAGUUACAAUACAUUACUGCUGUGUAUUGAUUUUGUACAUUAACCUAUUUGCAGUGACAAUCCAUAAGACAAGGCAAACUGAAAUGCACUGUACCAAGAUGUACUAACUGAAAAUACUCCAAAGACUGAUGUGGAACUCCCUCCUGUGGUGUGAGUGAGCAGCUUCACCCUCAACAGCUCCUGGCAGCUUGGGGAGCACGCCCCAUAUUCCAAAGCCUCUCUUCAGCUUUCAAGUCUACUGUGGAAACUUCUCUCCCAAGUUAAAAGUGUCACAAUACAUUUUUAAAAUACAUACAAAGUUGUAAACAUCUUUCUCUGGAACAAAAAAAAAAAAAAAAAAUGGUUUGUGCCAGCCUUCUCCACCUCCCACAUUACAAUAAAAAUAAUAAUAAUAAAAAAAUAGGGCCAAAGACCAAGGCCAUAGACUGAAAUUGUUCUGCAGGGAUGACAUCACAGUUUACAGGAAGUAUUGAGUAUCAGCAUAAAAUUAGUCAGCAUCAGGCAGCAGAACACAUUUCCAAGAAAUGGUUUCACUCAACUUCAAGUGAUGAAUCAGGCACUGAAUAUUUGAUUUCCCUACUUUUAAGAACAAAAGCUUAAAUUACAUUUAGGUAUUAUGUUUGAUAAUAGCUAAAAUUGACUACAAACAGAAAAUGAAACACUGAUACUUUUGCAAGUUUGGGUUUUGACCACUUUUGCUGUCAGGUUUAUAGCAAUCUUCCAUGAAGAAGGAAAGGAAUUUGCAAAACAGACUACAUAUAUAGAGAUCACACAAAUAAAAUAGACCUUUUCAAGGCAGAUUUUCUUUGUGGAAGUCCCUCUGGUCAUUUUCUAAAAUGUUUUAGCUUUUAAAUUGAUUUCAUCAUUAACCAUGAAAUAACCAUCUUAGUCUGAAUCUUGUAUCACUACUUCCAAAAAUACCAAGAUAAUUAAGAUUUUGGGAUGCAGUAGAGGAUUAAUUUCAAAGUACAAUAGGAUUUGCUCUUACCAGUGAAGGCUGGUAAAGGAUAGCAUUAUUCUAGCACUUCUGAAUUUAUUAUUCUUGUUUUCACACUGUCAGGAGAUUGAUAUCUAUGACCUUGUAAUUUAAGUAUGACAGUUGAUCAUAAAUAUCAGUACUUUUAUAGGCAACAUUUGGUUUAUUUUAAAGUUCUAGCAAGUGCAGCUCUUCCUUGAGGAUUAGAGGCUCUGCAGUCUAAAAGGGUUCUCCCCCCACCCCCAGUUACUGGUUGUAACAGAAACAAGUGGCAGAGCACAUUUUAUUCUGUGCACUUUUUUUGGGGAAAAAACAGGUUUCAAAAUAUUCACCUACUCUUUAAUGUACUCUUCAAUUUUUUGAAAAGUUACACUAAGUUCUAACCUUCAUGUGUUUUAUAAGCCCCAGAUUCUAGCUGCAAUUCUCAGCUGUCAGAGGUACCACAUACUCGAAUUAAACACUGGAUUUUACUGAAGCAGCUGUUUUGAAGAGAAAAAAAGCAGAAAUAACUCACAUUGACUACACACUGCUCUGUCAGUUAUACCACCUGUCAUACACCCUGAUGAGAGACUAUGGACUCUCACAUCUCUACAUGGUUUCUGUCAAUUUGUUGUGCAUAAUUAAUUACAGGACAAUGUUUCUGAGGUGGAACAAAAUAUCAGCAUAUGCUUAUGCUGAGAAAUUAUAGGGAGAGAAAUAUGUGCAUGACCAGGCCAUAAAAACAAAAGGAGCAACCUGACAAUAAGAUUAUAUAUUAGGAGUACAUACAGGCUUGCUUCUUCCAAAAAUGAAAUGUGUAUACCUGUAAGGGGCAAAGGUGGUGAGAAGGAGAAAGGAAGCAAACUUUGGCAAAGUUUAAGAAAGUGCUGUCUUUACAGUCCUAAUAAUAACUUAAAAAAAAAAA